UUCAUAUAUUGAAGAAAAUUUAAUGCUUCGUUGUUUGAUGUAGGAAACUAUUUUAUCCAAAUGAAAUGGUUGUUAUUCUUGUUUAGCUGGCAAUGAAUUUUCUUCUAUAUUAUUGUCUUAUGAAUUACACAACCAUAAUUGUGUUCUGAUGAAAAACAUUUGCUAUUGCUGAACUGUAAAUGGGUUUUAUGUUUGGUUAUCUCUUCUUGGAAAGUGUAGAUCAUGUAAUUGUGUGCUUGUGUAUAAUUUUUAGUUGUUUCAGCUUGUUUAUGAUUCACUUGGUUGUAAGAAGAACUGCAACAUACUUUUCUUUCUUUGUAUGAUAACUUUGUUUGUGUUUCUAAACCAGUAACUAUUUUAUGAACUUGUGAUCAAAGAAAGACGUCCUUCAUUUUGUGCUACUGAUGAAUAGUAGCACAGGUUUGUUUUUUUUUACAGCAUGUGUUGGUGUCAUUGUUCAUGCAGCAUAUGUUUGCUGAGCAUGUGAAGUACAAUUAUGGGGCAGCGGUGCAGGCCUGUAAACCAUUCAUGCUGCAUUUGCACAAUCCAGGUCAAUGCCAGGAUGUGCCGUUUCAAUAAUGGUGUCAAUGGUACAAAAUGAGCUUUUGGUAUGUGCCUUGGAAUGCAUCGAGCAUGAAUUGUACCAUUUAAUGAAUAGAAGCCAAAUGGCACCUUAUACUUGGAUUUUAAUAACUUAAGAUAACAAAGGAAUUGUUCUUUGUAAAUAUGCCAAAAAUGGGACGAUAGAUGAUCACCGAUAAAGAUCUAUUUUGGGAAAGCUUUUCUGCAAGGACAUUGGAGUUUAACUGGGAUGCAUCUACUUCAGCAUUUGAAUUAAAGGGCAUUAGCAGCCAAAUUGACGUAAGAAAGAAAACCACAUAUUUAAAGCAUUUAAAAAUACUUGGAGGUUUAUGUAUGCUGGAUACUGCAUCAGACUUCUGUUUACAUUUGUUAUACGCUUGAAAGAAAACUUCCAAUUUCCAUUUGGACCAUGAUUACCCUCGAGUUGGAAUGACGUCCAUCAGAAUGCUUUCUUGUUAUUGUUCAUAUGAUCUAACAAUUUGGAAUGACAUCUGUUUGGAUCUGAGUCUGAUGUAGGUACUGAUAAAGAUCUAUUUUCUUGCUCUUUAUAUAUCUUUACCAGUGAUGCUUAUAAGUAAUUUCUUGUCUUAUCACAUGUCAGUUAUUUUCUACGCUGUCAUGGCAGAGUUUCAUCUUUGUUAUUAUGUAUCUGGCACUAUUUACCCUUUGUGUUGGUAGCUGUUAAAAUUAUAUGGCAAAUUUUGAAAAUCACACCACCAUUGUCCUGCUGUUCUGAGCUUCUAGAUCAGAAAAAAGAGAAUUCCAUAGGAUUCAAACUACAUAUCUGUACUUAAAACUUUGUACGUAAUUGAAUGAAUUGGAGCUUUUCUUGUGACAGGGAUUAGAGACAGGGAUAGUACUAACGGUACUAGACAGGAUUAUGUUAUUUGCUCUCUUUCAAAACUCUUAAUUCUGAUACUGGAGAAGCGUAUCCUUUCUGUUGUUCUGAAUUCAUUAUUCAAGUUGUUAUAUGUAUGAAAAUUUUAUCAGAGCAUGCUCAUGUAGAAUACUUUGUCAUUUUCUUUUUAUCUGUUACAGGUAACUAGUGUCUGGUUUAUACAUGUGCUUCUGAAUUUACCUUCAAAGAAGUAAUCUUUUGUACCAUCAAUAUGCAGGUAUUGUUGUUGAUGGGGAAUUUAUCUAUCAAUCUGACCAGCCCUGACUUUGAAGCGCAUAGAAAAUUACUCGCAUCAUUCAGUGGUGGCACAGAGGACUUGAAUUCUGGUAUUGCUAACAACCUCACUUGUGAAACUGUCGCUCCAUUAUGGUGAAAGGUGAAUGAAUGGUAAUUAUGCAGUCUCGAAAGCUAUGGAUUGUACAUCAAUCAUUUUUCCAAGGCUGUGAAGGUUAAACCGAUGAUUAUAUCAAGUGAAGCGAUUGUACCACUACUGGUAUUAGCUUUUGCUGAUACAGGAGCCUUGAUAUCAUAAGAAUGAGGGGUAGUCAGAUUUUUUUUAAUGCUUCAACCGAUCUUGGCCAGUUAUUAAUAAUCCGAUUUGCCGGGAUAGAGUGUUGUUUGUGUAUAUAACAUUUUGUUAGAUCCAUGGAAGCUUUUUAUGAUUUGCUAGGUUUGGGAGUAAUAAGGUGAUUCCUUCAUGUAUCUAUAUAUCCUGGUUUGUUUUUCCCAGCUUGAAGGAUCUGUGACCUUGGAGCAUUGAGAUGCUAAAAUUAUUUGCCUAAUAUAUCAUGAAUAAAGGCAAGUUAUUAUGGAA